rnacentral:rRNA from 1 species
GAUGAACGCUGGCGGCGUGCCUAACACAUGCAAGUCGAGCGAUUUACUUCGGUAAAGUGCGGCGGACGGGUGAGUAACGCGUGGUUAACCUGCCCUGUACACACGGAUAACAUACCGAAAGGUAUGCUAAUACGAGAUAAUAUGCUUUUAUCGCAUGGUAGAAGUAUAAAAGCUUUUGCGGUACAGGAUGGACCCGCGUCUGAUUAGCCAGUUGGGGAGGUGACGGCUCACCAAGGCGACGACCAGUAGCCGACCUGAGAGAGAGAUCGGCCACAUUGGAACUGAGACGCAGUCCAAACUCCUACGCGAGGCAGCAGUGGGGAAUAUUGCACAACGGGCGAAAGCAUGAAGCAGCAACGCCUCGAAAGCGAUGAAGGCCUUCGGGACGUAAAGCUCGGUCCUCAAGGAAGAUAAUGACGGUACUUGAGGAGGAAGCCCCGGCUAACUACGUG